UACGUAGGUCCCGAGCGUUGUCCGGAUUUAUUGGGCGUAAAGCGAGCGCAGGUGGUUUAUUAAGUCUGGUGUAAAAGGCAGUGGCUCAACCAUUGUAUGCAUUGGAAACUGGUAGACUUGAGUGCAGGAGAGGAGAGUGGAAUUCCAUGUGUAGCGGUGAAAUGCGUAGAUAUAUGAAGGAACCCCGGUGGCGAAAGCGGCUCUCUGGCCUGUAACUGACACUGAGGCUCGAAAGCGUGGGGAGCAAACAGG
rnacentral:rRNA from 1 species